AGCAAAUUCAUAUAUAUAUAUAAAUAUAUAUAUAAGAGCCGUUAGAUUAAAACAAGAUCAUGGUUAGGAUUAAAACUUCUUCAUAUGGCUCAUUCGCUCACCUGCUCGUAAGACAUAACACUACUCACUCUCUCUCUCUUCAGACUACCUUUCUCUCUCUUCGUUUCACACCAAUUUUGAAGAAUUUAAUUCUUCCAACAGAUUCAGUGAUACAUCAUACAUCGGAUAAUUUCCUAUCAAUUUGUAGCAAUUUGCAAGUUCGUAAAUAAUUUAUUGCGAAAUCUCAAUUCAACGGUUGCAAAUUCAGUCGAAAUCAGAUUAUAGAUUUGUUUUUGAAUUAUUCAAUUAAAACUUUUAUGAUGCUGGAGUUAGAAUUUUGAAAGUAUAGUCAUGUUGAUUUCCU